rnacentral:rRNA from 1 species
UAGGGAAUCUUCCACAAUGGACGAAAGUCUGAUGGAGCAACGCCGCGUGAGUGAAGAAGGUUUUCGGAUCGUAAAGCUCUGUUGUUGGUGAAGAAGGAUAGAGGCAGUAACUGGUCUUUAUUUGACGGUAAUCAACCAGAAAGUCACGGCUAACUACGUGCCACG